GUUGUAUGGUUAAGUGACUAAGCGUACAGGGCGGAUGCCUUGGCAAUCAGAGGCGAAGAAGGACGUGCUAAUCUGCGAAAAGCUUGGAUGAGUCGAUAAGAGGCGUUUAAUCCAAGAUGUCCGAAUGGGGAAACCCGAUGGAUGAAGAAUCCAUCAUUUCAUUGUGAAUACAUAGCAAUGAAAGGCGAACCGGGAGAACUGAAACAUCUAAGUACCCCGAGGAAAAGAAAUCAACCGAGAUUCUGUGAGUAGCGGCGAGCGAAAGCGGAAGAGCCAGUAAGUUUUAGCUAGUGUAUUAGAGGAAUUGGCUGGGAAGCCAAAUCAAAGAGGGUGAUAAUCCCGUACUCGAAAAUACGAUAGUGGAACUAAGCUUACGAUAAGUAGGGCGGGACACGAGAAAUCCUGUUUGAAGAUGGGGGGACCAUCCUCCAAGGCUAAAUACUCCUGAUUGACCGAUAGUGAACCAGUACUGUGAAGGAAAGGCGAAAAGAACCCCGGUGAGGGGAGUGAAAUAGAACCUGAAACCCUGUACGUACAAGCAGUAGGAGCGAGGGCAACCUUGUGACUGCGUACCUUUUGUAUAAUGGGUCAGCGACUUAUAUUUUGUAGCGAGGUUAACUGAAUAAGGGAGCCGAAGGGAAACCGAGUCUUAACUGGGCGUUGAGUUGCAAGGUAUAGACCCGAAACCCGGUGAUCUAGCCAUGGGCAGGUUGAAGGUUGGGUAACACUAACUGGAGGACCGAACCGACUAAUGUUGAAAAAUUAGCGGAUGACUUGUGGCUGGGGGUGAAAGGCCAAUCAAACCGGGAGAUAGCUGGUUCUCCCCGAAAUCUAUUUAGGUAGAGCCUUGAGCGGACACCUUCGGGGGUAGAGCACUGUUUCGGCUAGGGGUCCAUCCCGGAUUACCAACCCGAUGCAAACUGCGAAUACCGAAGAGUGAUACUCAGGAGACACACGGCGGGUGCUAACGUUCGUCGUGGAGAGGGAAACAACCCAGACCGCCAGCUAAGGUCCCAAAGUCUAUAUUAAGUGGGAAACGAAGUGGGAAGGCUUAGACAGCUAGGAUGUUGGCUUAGAAGCAGCCAUCAUUUAAAGAAAGCGUAAUAGCUCACUAGUCGAGUCGGCCUGCGCGGAAGAUGUAACGGGGCUCAAAUAUAGCACCGAAGCUGCGGCAUCAG
rnacentral:rRNA from 1 species